CCUACGGGAGGCAGCAGUGGGGAAUAUUGGACAAUGGGGGGAACCCUGAUCCAGCCAUGCCGCGUGUGUGAAGAAGGCCCUCGGGUUGUAAAGCACUUUCAGUGAGGAAGAACGCCUGGUGGUUAAUACCCAUCAGGAAAGACAUCACGCACAGAAGAAGCACCGGCUAACUCCGUGCCAGCAGCCGCGGUAAUACGGAGGGUGCGAGCGUUAAUCGGAAUUACUGGGCGUAAAGCGCGCGUAGGUGGCUUGAUAAGCCGGUUGUGAAAGCCCCGGGCUCAACCUGGGAACGGCAUCCGGAACUGUCAAGCUAGAGUGCAGGAGAGGAAGGUAGAAUUCCCGGUGUAGCGGUGAAAUGCGUAGAGAUCCGGAGGAAUACCAGUGGCGAAGGCGGCCUUCUGGACUGAAACUGACACUGAGGUGCGAAAGCGUGGGUAGCAAACAGGAUUAGAUACCCUUGUAGUC
rnacentral:rRNA from 1 species